rnacentral:sRNA from 2 species
CCCUAGCCCCGAUAGAAGUGGAAAUCAUUUUGUGGCGAGGUUCAUCACAAAAGAUUGAAACGUAUAGCGGGAUUAGCU